rnacentral:rRNA from 1 species
AGUUUGAUCCUGGCUCAGGAUGAACGCAGGCGGCAGUGCCUAACACAUGCAAGUCGACCGAGAAGCUAGCUUCUGAUUCCUUCGGGAAGAGGAGGUCAGCCGAAAGUGGCGAACGGGUGAGUAACGCGUGGGUAAUCAUACCCUAAAGUGGGGGAUAACCCUCCGAAAGGAGGGCUAAUGCCGCAUAAUAUCUUCUCCUCUAAAAGAGAAGAAGAUUAAAGAUGGCCUCUAUACUAUGCUCAUCGCUUCAGGAUGAGCCUGCGUCCUAUUAGUUAGUUGGUGGGGUAAUGGCCUGCCAAGACCACAAUGGGUAGCCGGUCUGAGAGGAUGUACGGCCACACUGGGACUGAGAUACGGCCCAGACUCCUACGGGAGGCAGC